rnacentral:rRNA from 1 species
UACCAGCACCCCGAGUGGUCGGGACGUUUAUUGGGCCUAAAGCAUCCGUAGCCGGUUCUACAAGUCUUCCGUUAAAUCCAACUGCUUAACAGGUGGGCUGCGGAAGAUACUAUAGAGCUAGGAGGCGGGAGAGGCAAGCGGUACUCGAUGGGUAGGGGUAAAAUCCGUUGAUCCAUUGAAGACCACCAGUGGCGAAGGCGGCUUGCCAGAACGCGCUCGACGGUGCGGGAUGAAAGCUGGGGGAGCAAACCGG